rnacentral:rRNA from 1 species
UACGGAGGGUGCGAGCGUUGUCCGGAAUCAUUGGGCGUAAAGGGCGCGUAGGUGGCCCGGUCAGUUCGUGGUGAAAGCGCGGGGCUCAACCCUGCGUCGGCCAUGAAUACUGCCGCGGCUGGAGCACUGUAGAGGCAGGCGGAAUUCCGGGUGUAGGGGUGGAAUGCGUAGAGAUCCGGAAGAACACCGGUGGCGAAGGCGGCCUGCUGGGCAGUUGCUGACACUGAGGCGCGACAGCGUGGGGAGCAAACAGG